AGGAAGUAAAAGUCGUAACAAGGUUUCCGUAGGUGAACCUGCGGAAGGAUCAUUACAUUCAGUAGCCCAGCUACUUGUUUACACCCUUGUUUUUUUGCGUACUUAUCGUUUCCUCGGCGGGCUUGCCUGCCGGUUGGACAACUUUAUAACCUUUUUUAAAUCUUCAAUCAGCGUCUGAAUAAUAUACAAUAAUUACAACUUUCAACAACGGAUCUCUUGGUUCUGGCAUCGAUGAAGAACGCAGCGAAAUGCGAUAAGUAGUGUGAAUUGCAGAAUUCAGUGAAUCAUCGAAUCUUUGAACGCACAUUGCGCCCCUUGGUAUUCCAUGGGGCAUGCCUGUUCGAGCGUCAUUUGUACCUUCAAGCUUUGCUUGGUGUUGGGUGCUUGUCUUUUUGUUAAGACUCACCUCAAAGUCAUUGGCAGCCAGUGUUUUGGUAGUAAGCGCAGCACAUUUUGCGUCUUGGUCCCUCAACAGCAGCUUCCAUCAAGCCAUUUCUCACUUUGACCUC
rnacentral:rRNA from 1 species